UGCCAGCCGCCGCGGUAAUACGUAGGGGGCAAGCGUUGUCCGGAAUCACUGGGCGUAAAGGGCGCGUAGGCGGCCUGUUAAGUUGAAUGUGAAAUCCCAGGGCUCAACCCUGGACGUGCAUUCAAAACUGGCGGGCUUGAGUAUGGUAGAGGUAAGUGGAAUUCCUAGUGUAGCGGUGGAAUGCGUAGAUAUUAGGAGGAACACCAGUGGCGAAGGCGACUUACUGGGCCAUAACUGACGCUGAGGCGCGAAAGUGUGGGGAGCAAACAGGAUUAGAUA
rnacentral:rRNA from 1 species